rnacentral:rRNA from 1 species
UACGAAGGGGGCUAGCGUUGUUCGGAAUCACUGGGCGUAAAGCGCACGUAGGCGGAUUGUUAAGUCGGGGGUGAAAUCCUGAGGCUCAACCUCAGAACUGCCUCCGAUACUGGCAAUCUCGAGUUCGGAAGAGGUUGGUGGAACAGCUAGUGUAGAGGUGAAAUUCGUAGAUAUUAGCUAGAACACCAGUGGCGAAGGCGGCCAACUGGUCCGACACUGACGCUGAGGUGCGAAAGCGUGGGGAGCAAACAGGGA